rnacentral:tRNA from 1 species
GUCGGGAUAGCUCAGCUGGUAGAGCACAGG